GCCCUUAGAGUUUGAUCCUGGCUCAGGAUGAACGCUGGCGGUAUGCUUUACACAUGCAAGUCGUACGAGAGUUUUUAACUCAGGUGGCGGACGGGUGAGUAACACGUAAGAAUUUGCCUUUAGGAGGGGGAUAACAACUGGAAACGGUUGCUAAUACCCCAUAUGUUUUCGAGUAAAAUGGAUUUUCCGCCUAAAGAGAAGCUUGCGGCUGAUUAGCUUGUUGGUGAGGUAAUGGCUCACCAAGGCGACGAUCAGUAUCUGGUUUGAGAGGACGAUCAGACACACUGGAACUGAGACACGGUCCAGACUCCUACGGGAGGCAGCAGUGGGGAAUUUUCCGCAAUGGGCGAAAGCCUGACGGAGCAAUACCGCGUGAGGGAUGACGGCCUAUGGGUUGUAAACCUCUUUUUUCAGGGAGGAAUCAAUGACGUGUACCUGAAGAAUAAGCAUCGGCUAACUCCGUGCCAGCAGCCGCGGUAAGACGGAGGAUGCAAGUGUUAUCCGGAAUCACUGGGCGUAAAGCGUCUGUAGGUGGUCAAAUAAGUCAACUGUUAAAUCUUGAGGCUCAACCUCAAAAUCGCAGUCGAAACUAUUCGACUAGAGUAUAGUAGGGGUAAAGGGAAUUUCCAGUGGAGCGGUGAAAUGCGUAGAGAUUGGAAAGAACACCGAUGGCGAAGGCACUUUACUGGGCUAUUACUAACACUGAGAGACGAAAGCUAGGGUAGCAAAUGGGAUUAGAUACCCCAGUAGUCCUAGCCGUAAACAAUGGAUACUAGAUGUUGAACAGAUCGACCUGUGCAGUAUCAAAGCUAACGCGUUAAGUAUCCCGCCUGGGAAGUAUGCUCGCAAGAGUGAAACUCAAAUGAAUUGACGGGGAAGGGCGAAUUCUGC
rnacentral:rRNA from 1 species